GAUGAACGCUGGCGGCGUGCCUAAUACAUGCAAGUCGAGCGAACAGACGAGGAGCUUGCUCCUCUGACGUUAGCGGCGGACGGGUGAGUAACACGUGGAUAACCUACCUAUAAGACUGGGAUAACUUCGGGAAACCGGAGCUAAUACCGGAUAAUAUAUUGAACCGCAUGGUUCAAUAGUGAAAGACGGUUUUGCUGUCACUUAUAGAUGGAUCCGCGCCGCAUUAGCUAGUUGGUAAGGUAACGGCUUACCAAGGCAACGAUGCGUAGCCGACCUGAGAGGGUGAUCGGCCACACUGGAACUGAGACACGGUCCAGACUCCUACGGGAGGCAGCAGUAGGGAAUCUUCCGCAAUGGGCGAAAGCCUGACGGAGCAACGCCGCGUGAGUGAUGAAGGUCGUCGGAUCGUAAAACUCUGUUAUUAGGGAAGAACAAAUGUGUAAGUAACUAUGCACGUCUUGACGGUACCUAAUCAGAAAGCCACGGCUAACUACG
rnacentral:rRNA from 1 species